rnacentral:rRNA from 1 species
UAAGGGAUAUUGGGUCAAUGGGGCGGGAGCCUGAACCAGCCAUGCCGCGUGAGGGAUUGAGGCCCUACGGGUCGUAAACCUCUUUUGCCGGGGAAUAACGGGCGCCACGCGUGGCGCCGUGAAGGUACCCGGAGAAUAAGCAUCGGCUAACUCCGUGCCAGCAGCCGCGGUAAUACGGAGGAUGCGAGCGUUAUCCGGAUUUAUUGGGUUUAAAGGGUGCGCAGGCGGGCGUCUAAGUCAGCGGUGAAAGUUCCCGGCUCAACCGGGUCAGUGCCGAUGAUACUGGGGGUCUUGAAUGCGGUCGAGGCCGGCGGAAUGUGGCGUGUAGCGGUGAAAUGCAUAGAUAUGCCACAGAA